AGUACGGCCGCAAGGCUAAAACUCAAAGGAAUUGACGGGGACCCGCACAAGCGGUGGAGCAUGUGGUUUAAUUCGAUGCAACGCGAAGAACCUUACCUGGUCUUGACAUACAGAGAACUUUUCAGAGAUGAAUUGGUGCCUUCGGGAACUCUGAUACAGGUGCUGCAUGGCUGUCGUCAGCUCGUGUCGUGAGAUGUUGGGUUAAGUCCCGUAACGAGCGCAACCCUUAUCCUUAUUUGCCAGCACGUAAUGGUGGGAACUAUAAGGAGACUGCCGGUGAUAAACCGGAGGAAGGCGAGGACGACGUCAAGUCAUCAUGGCCCUUACGACCAGGGCUACACACGUGCUACAAUGGAAAGGACAAAGAGUCGCGAAGCCGUGAGGUGUAGCCAAUCUCAUAAACCUUUUCGUAGUCCGGAUCGGAGUCUGCAACUCGACUCCGUGAAGUCGGAAUCGCUAGUAAUCGUGGAUCAGAAUGCCACGGUGAAUAC
rnacentral:rRNA from 1 species